CCGCCCAACUUUUCCCUCUUCCUCAAAAUCUCAAAUUCCCCUCCCAUCUCCCCCUUUCCUUCCUAACCUAUUCAACCCUCUUCCUCAAAAACCCAAAUUCCCAUCUCAUCACCUCCUUUCCCUCUUAACCUAAUUGAAUCUUCAUGUCCUUACAAAAUUCAAGAACUCAAACUACUCAAUGGCUACUCUACGAUGAUCGACACUGUCAAAUCCUAUGGCUCAAACAUACUUGCUCUGUGCGCCGACGGAUAUCUUUGGUUUUUAAACUCAUUAGAGAUGGUGACCCCUGAAAUCAUGACAAGAGAUUCUGAUUUCAUAAUAUCUUCCAUAAAAAACGUUGAUCAAUUCAAGAUUUUUUUAGGGUUUUAGGAUUUUCCCCAACUCGGUAUAUAUAGGUUUUGAAUGGAUAUCAAAUCAGAAGCCAACUCAGCAGCAAACGCGAUAUAGGAAAUCACCUUGUGCGCCAGCAGAUGGAGAAGGUAGUCCAUGAGGAUUGAGGACGCAUGAUGACUCAAGAUUUUA